rnacentral:misc_RNA from 1 species
UGGUUCUCGCAUCGAUGAAGAACGCAGCGAAAUGCGAUAAGUAAUGUGAAUUGCAGAAUUCAGUGAAUCAUCGAAUCUUUGAACGCACAUUGCGCCCCUUGGUAUUCCGAGGGGCAUGCCUUUUCGAGCGUCAUUUCAACCCUCAAGCACCUGCUUGGUAUUGGGCCCGCGUCCACACGGUGGACGGACCUUAAAGCGAUUGGCGGCUUCGCGGAUGGCUUCGAGCGUAGUAAAACAAUUCUCGCUUGGGAGCUUCAGCGCUAGCUAUGGCCAUUUAACCAGAUUUAAAUCACAAAGGUUGACCUCGGAUAAGGUAGGGAUACCCGCUGA